rnacentral:rRNA from 1 species
CGGCGGACGGGUGAGUAACGCGUGGGUAACCUGCCUCAUACAGGGGGAUAACAGUUAGAAAUGACUGCUAAUACCGCAUAAGCGCACAGCUUCGCAUGAAGCGGUGUGAAAAACUCCGGUGGUGUAAGAUGGACCCGCGUCUGAUUAGCUUGUUGGCGGGGUAACGGCCCACCAAGGCGACGAUCAGUAGCCGGCCUGAGAGGGCGGACGGCCACAUUGGGACUGAGACACGGCCCAGACUCCUACGGAAGGCAGCAG